rnacentral:rRNA from 1 species
AUAAGUAAGGGGCAAGCGUUAAUCGGAAUUACUGGGCGUAAAGCGUGCGCAGGCGGUUCGGAAAGAAGGAUGUGAAAUCCCAGGGCUCAACCUUGGAACUGCAUUCUUAACUACCGACCUAGAGUAUGUCAGAGGGGGGUCGAAUUCCGCCCGUAGCAGUGAAAUGCGUAGAUAUGCGGAGGAAUACCGAUGGCGAAGGCGGCCCCCUGGGAUAAUACUGACGCUCAUGCACGAAAGCGUGGGUAGCAAACAGGAUUAGAUGCCCCGGUAGUCCACGCCCUAAACGAUGUCAACUAGCUGUUGGGCCCUUCGGGGCUUAGUAGCGUAGCUAACGCGUGAAGUUGACCGCCUGGGGAGUACGGUCGCAAGAUUAAAACUCAAAUGAAUUGGCGGGG